AGGGGCACCCCAGCAUUGCCCCGGUGCCCCCGGCUGUGCUGGUGGAGGUGGAGCUGCACCUGACCUCUUUGCAGCUGAGGAGCAGGUGGAGCAGGAGGUUCCCGAGCCCUGACAGUUAUUAAAUCUCUGUGGGGUGUGCUUUCCUAAUGCCCUGCGCAGCCCUUUGCGUGCCUGACCCGGGAGUCAAGGAACCAGCUGAAUUUGGCCAUGAACUGGGAUGAGAUUCAGGUGACCUUCCAGGGGGCUGAACUCCAUUUAGAUGGGAUGAGUUGACAGUGCGUGAAAUACGGUGGAUUAAUUCACACUUCAUUGUUGGUAGACAUGAGGCUGAAGGUCGAGGUCCAUUAAGAAAACUAGUAGCUGAAAUGGUCCAAGUAAGCCAGAGACAAGUCUAUCAGAGUGAUCUGCUUAACAACAUCUGCCUCGGAAAGACA